ACUCCUACGGGAGGCAGCAGUGGGGAAUAUUGCACAAUGGGGGAAACCCUGAUGCAGCCAUGCCGCGUGUGUGAAGAAGGCCUUCGGGUUGUAAAGCACUUUCAGUAGGGAGGAAGGUAUGUAGUUAACACCUGCACNAUUUGACGUUACCUACAGAAGAAGCACCGGCUAACUCCGUGCCAGCAGCCGCGGUAAUACGGAGGGUGCAAGCGUUAAUCGGAAUUACUGGGCGUAAAGCGUGCGCAGGCGGUCUGUUAAGCGAGAUGUGAAAGCCCCGGGCUCAACCUGGGAACUGCAUUUCGAAC
rnacentral:rRNA from 1 species